AUGUCAAGCUUCAGUAUCAUAGAGAAUGUUUCUGUUUACCACGGGGCUAUCAGCAAGGCCACUACUGAGAUGAUCCUGGGUGCAGUGGGGAGAGAUGGGAGUUAUCUACUCCGAGACAGUGAGAGUUUGCCCAACACCUACUGCCUAUGUUUUCUAUGCAAAGAUGUUGUCUACACCUACAGAAUGUUCCAAAUCAAUGAGGGGUCCUGGACAGUUGAGGCGUUCUCAUUGCUCAUGGUUGCCAGGAGACCCGAGUUGCCAUGGUAGCUGAUCUGCGCCAGGUCAUGCGCCAGGGCGGAGACUUUCUUGAGGACGCCCCCGUUGCUGAUCGUGAGCCAAUAGACCUGACCCCCGGGAACCAGUAGCCAGAGGGGGACACCGUUGGCAUCGCGGCGCACAUGGACCAUGGUGCCGUCGCUGGUGACCACGGCGCUCACGUCACCCUCUCCUGAGUAGGUGAAGUUAUAGACGUAGUCUCCGGUGACCAGGCUGCGGGUGUGGAGGUGAGUGCCGUUGACACUGAACAGAUAGAGCUCCUGGUCCACCACAGAGGUGAUCUCAUACAUGCUGUUCUGAUUGAGCUGGGGCCUGUUGGGGGACAAGGCCCUGAUACGGAUGUUCCCCAGGUCAGAGAUGUACAGAGUCCCAUUAGGGGAAACAGCCAGGGAGGAGGGAGCCUUCAGCUUGGCAUCACGGGCAUAUCCACCAUCUCCUGUGGGAACAGGACAAUGAAGAAAUUAAGCACUUAACUAGCUAAGGUAGAAUACAUUGAGUCAAAUGAGAGUCAAUCAUAAACAACUAUUUAUGUAUUCAUACUUUACUGAAUAAUAAUGUGGUGUUUGAUAUGUUGCAAUGUCAAAUAAAGUUGUUAUGAAUAAUACA